ACCUGCUCUCUGCUGGACCUCCAGAGACAGUCAGAGGUUCUGAUCACCUCUAUACUGUCAGCAGCAGAGUAACUGUGGACAAGAGACACAACAACAGCUUCACCUGGAGAGUCCAACAGAUAAACAACCACCAGACCAGAGAGGCUCACAUACAUGUUCCAGAUGUUUUUUUCUCGUGUAGUUCGGCUGUUCCUACCAACACUGGUUUGGCUGUUAGCUUAGCUGUUAGCAUCAUGGUUAUUUUAGCAGGUGUCUUCUUCGUGUGGAGACAAAAUAGAACCAAAACCAAGAAAAGAUCCAGAGAUGAAGCUGAAAGAGGAGAAAAGCUCCUGAC